rnacentral:rRNA from 1 species
GACGGGGGGUCCAAGCGUUGUUCGGAAUCACUGGGCGUAAAGCGGGUGUAGGUGGCUAGGCAAGUUGGAUGUGAAAGCCCCGGGCUCAACCCGGGAAGUGCAUCCAAAACUACUUAGCUUGAGUAAGGGAGAGGAUAGGAGAAUUCUUGGUGUAGUGGUGAAAUACGUAGAUAUCAAGAGGAACACCGGUGGCGAAGGCGCCUAUCUGGCCCAUUACUGACACUCAGACCCGAAAGCGUGGGUAGCAAACAGG